GACAGAGGGUGCAACCGUUGCUCGGAAUCACUGGGCGUAAAGGGCGUGUAGGCGGGUAGGCAAGUCGGGCGUGAAAUCCCUGAGCUCAACUCAGGAACUGCACUCGAAACUGCUUAUCUUGAGUGCCGGAGAGGAAAGCGGAAUACCUGGUGUAGAGGUGAAAUUCGUAGAUAUCAGGUGGAACACCAGUGGCGAAGGCGGCUUUCUGGACGGUACUGACGCUGAGACGCGAAAGCGUGGGGAGCGAACAGG
rnacentral:rRNA from 1 species